CAUAGGACAUUGAAGGAAAUUUUCAUAUGUCUGCGUGCACGUCCCACAGGCUUUCCAUUUCCGUAACAGUCGCCACACCCGACUCGCCAAUUCAAACAACCUCGCAAAAACCGACGAACAGCUACGACUGCCGUCUGGCGACCCGGUAAACUUUCUAGGUGAGCUUGUGUGUAUGUAAGAGGAAUGCGAAACUAACAUGAAAUACAUGGUAUCAUCAUUACAGCCAUAAUUUCGUACUCUACCUCCGAGUUUUUAAAGGUUUUCUCGUUACAUUCAACAAGGCGAAGACAAUGAAUCGGUCUCGACUCAGUGCGUUUAAAGAAAGAUACAUAUGAAGCAUAAAGCAGACCUUGGUUAAAACCCCUGAAUCCCGCGGACCUCGGGGAUACAUCACUGCCAACUCGAACAAUGAACAGAUAACAAAGGACGGUAAUAAAGUUGCUGCAGAAAAGCGGUUCCUUUAUCAGCGACAUUUCAUUUCCAGUUAUAAAUGAGUUCGCCUUUUCACUAGAUGUUGUAAUUUUACAUGGAAUAUUGACACGAUUGUCAAGUUCUGUUCACUGUAGCUCUAUAAUAUGUCAACGACAUCCUUGCUCGAUCCUUUUUGCUGGCUGAAAAUAGCCCACGAAUCAUGCUCAUUGGAAAUCGAAGUCAUGAAAAAUGUGUAGCACAAAAAAAAAGUCUAUUAAUUUUAUAGUUCAGUGUUCUUUGUUUAAUAAUAUGCUGAUAUUUGAUUAUGAAACUGUGACUACACAGACAAAAUAAUUGGUAUUGCAGUUAUAAGUGACUUUUUUACUCCCUACAACAAAAUCCUUUAGU